rnacentral:rRNA from 1 species
UACAGAGGUCCCGAGCGUUGUUCGGAUUCAUUGGGCGUAAAGGGUGCGUAGGCGGCGGGGCAAGUCUGAUGUGAAAUCCCGGGGCUCAACCCCGGAACUGCAUUGGAUACUGCCUUGCUAGAGUACUGGAGAGGGAACUGGAAUUUACGGUGUAGCAGUGAAAUGCGUAGAGAUCGUAAGGAAGGCCAGUGGCGAAGGCGAGUUCCUGGACAGUUACUGACGCUGAGGCA